GACGAACGCUGGCGGCGUGCCUAAUACAUGCAAGUUGAGCGAUGAAGAUUGGUGCUUGCACCAAUUUGAAGAGCAGCGAACGGGUGAGUAACGCGUGGGGAAUCUGCCUUUGAGCGGGGGACAACAUUUGGAAACGAAUGCUAAUACCGCAUAACAACUUUAAACAUAAGUUUUAAGUUUGAAAGAUGCAAUUGCAUCACUCAAAGAUGAUCCCGCGUUGUAUUAGCUAGUUGGUGAGGUAAAGGCUCACCAAGGCGAUGAUACAUAGCCGACCUGAGAGGGUGAUCGGCCACAUUGGGACUGAGACACGGCCCAAACUCCUACGGGAGGCAGCAGUAGGGAAUCUUCGGCAAUGGACGAAAGUCUGACCGAGCAACGCCGCAUGAGUGAAGAAGGUUGUCGGAUCGUAAAACUCUGUUGGUAGAGAAGAACGUUGGUGAGAGUGGAAAGCUCAUCAAGUGACGGUAACUACCCAGAAAGGGACGGCUAACUACGUG
rnacentral:rRNA from 1 species